rnacentral:rRNA from 1 species
UACGGGGGGGGCAAGCGUUGUUCGGAUUCAUUGGGCGUAAAGGGUGCGUAGGCGGCGCGGUAAGUCGGGUGUGAAAUCCCGGGGCUUAACUCCGAAACUGCAUUCGAUACUGCCGUGCUUGAGGACUGGAGAGGAGACUGGAAUUUACGGUGUAGCGGUGAAAUGCGUAGAUAUCGUAAGGAAGACCAGUGGCGAAGGCGGGUCUCUGGACAGUUCCUGACGCUGAGGCACGAAAGCGUGGGGAGCGAACAGG